rnacentral:lncRNA from 1 species
UUUUCCCCAUUAUUUCCUCUCUCUUCUUUCCCUCUCAUCACUCUCUCUUCUCUCUCUCCCAAGACUGUCACCGUCGCCCAUUGCCACCACCGGAAAUUGCCCACCGGCGGUGGUCGACCUCCAAUCCGCCCCAAAAUUUCACCAUAUAAUCUCCAACACCUCCUCUUUCCAUAUUUUAAAACCAAAUCCUAAAAAAAUCUUUCAAACUCCUUGAAUCUUAGAUCUAGAAAACUUUCCCGUCACUUUGUUGCCCAAAUUCUUGAAGCUCCAACCACUACCACCCCAAAAUACCUACAUCAAUGGAUAGAGCUCCUCAAGACCUAACUAUUGAUGUCAAUUCUACCCCAAAAAUCCAGCGACCAAAAUUAGGCCUAAUUCCGGCGACCUCCCGGAACACCCUUUUUGGCAUACCACCAUUUUUUCGGCCUUUUGAUGUGUAAAAUGGUAAAAUACUAUUCUUUUUCAUGGCUGAUUUUUUUAUUUUUAUUUUUAAUUUUUAUAUUUUAUUUUUGUCUAUUAUUAAUUAUUUUAGCAUUAGUUUUUUAUGUUUGAAAUGUUAAAUUUUCUAUUUUUGCACUUGUUGAAGUAGUAAAAUAGUUUUGUAUUGAUAAAAGUGAGGUAAUGAAAAAUACUUAAGAGUAUAUGGUACUUGUUUGGCUGUUUGUUUACUGCUUCGGGACUCUUUGAGUACAACACUCAAAAGUCAAAUUGUUUGGUAAGAAAAUGUAGACCUUAGGACAUUAUUAGACUAAAGUCUAUCAUUGAAUAGUGGAGAGCAGAUUUUGUUUGAAAUACUUGACAAGAUUUGAACUAGAAAGUCUGGCUUUUUGAAUUUAAGAGCAGAUUUUGUAGAAAAAUCUGUCAAAAAGAUUGAUUUUUAAUUUUUUUAAAUAGCUGGUUGUUUUGAUAUAUAGAGGGGGCAUAUUUUUUAAUUGCUUUGUCACAAAAACAAAAAAUAUCAGCAGUUGAACACAUGAAAAGUAAGCUGAAAUGGUGAGCUUUGGGAGUGAAUCUUAGAGUGCAAACUUUAAAAAAGUAUAAGUCCUCUUUAGAGUUCGUUUCUGGGUUCCCUCUCUAAGUUUUCGGGUUGUUUUAACACGGAUUUGCUGCUGGUUUUAUGUUGCUUUAGUUGCUGAACUACUGUUUAUUCUUUUGCUACCAGGUAAUCCUUUAAGACUCGUAAUAUACGUAUUUUCAGCAAUGGGAACAACUUAAANNNNNNNNNNNNNNNNNNNNNNNNNCAUGCUGCACCAUUUAAAUGUGUUUGAUGUGAUGAAUAGUUUGACAACAAAAGAGCUUGUAUGUUAUUGUUAGGUAUUAAGCAUGUGAUAAUGUGAAUAUAGUCCUUCAUAAUACUUGAAUAUUGAGUUGUAAGUUUUUGAAUGGGAUAUGUAAGUCGUUUAUGGAUUUUUUUAAGCAU